rnacentral:rRNA from 1 species
AUGUAUGUAUAUUGUUAUCAAGAUCAAAACAUGAUUAUGUGCAUGACUGCACUUUCAAUGGGAACUGGCGAUUUUGGAGACGUUUGUUCCGUGUUUCUUCAGUCGUCGAGCAGGCCAAGGUGCACUUGUUUCCAUCUUCCUGGAGUCAAUCGUCACGUCGUAGAUGGGUCUCCGACGUCUGAUCAAAAGCACAUGUCGUUGCUCUAUCAUGUGCUUCUUAUGAGCGGUGUUUUUCGUUGUAUGACUUUUCUGGCUGAAUGGCGACUCUUUUCCUAUGGCCAAAAUGCCGAAAGGAAGGCAGAGUCGUUCGUUUCUUCGUGUAGCUUAUGUUGGCGAUGGAGCGACGGCGAGCCUCCCAUCCAAGUGGUUCUGUCUCCGGCGAUGGUUGAGAUCGGUAUGUUGUGGUAG